rnacentral:rRNA from 1 species
UACGAAGGGGGCUAGCGUUGUUCGGAAUUACUGGGCGUAAAGCGCGCGCAGGCGGUUCUUCAAGUCUGUGGUGAAAGCCCGGAGCUCAACUCCGGAACUGCCAUUGAAACUGUAGAACUUGAGGAUGAGAGAGGUGAGUGGAAUUCCCAGUGUAGAGGUGAAAUUCGUAGAUAUUGGGAAGAACACCGGUGGCGAAGGCGGCUCACUGGCUCAUUUCUGACGCUCAGGCGCGACAGCGUGGGGAUCAAACAGG